rnacentral:ncRNA from 1 species
GAUUCCGGGGAGCGCUGCGAGGCUAGCCCCCAGGCCCGGAACAGUUCAAAACGGCGCUCACCUGCU